rnacentral:rRNA from 1 species
AAUGAACGUUGGCGGCGUGGAUUAGGCAUGCAAGUCGAGCGAUAACCGUAGCAAUACGGGGACAGCGGCGUAAGGGAGAGUAAUGCAUGGAUAUCUACCCUCGGGUCUGGGAUAGCUGCGGGAAACUGCAGGUAAUACCAGAUGACAUCUCCGGAUCAAAGGUGUGAUUCCGCCCGGGGAGGGGUCCAUGUCCUAUUAGCUUGUUGGUGAGGUAACGGCUCACCAAGGCAGAGAUGGGUACGAGGUGUGAGAGCACGACCUCGCUCACUGGGACUGAGACACUGCCCAGACACCUACGGGUGGCUGCAGUCGAGAAUCUUCGGCAAUGGGCGCAAGCCUGACCGAGCGACGCCGCGUGCGGGAUGAAGGCCUUCGGGUUGUAAACCGCUGUCAGUGUGGAGGAAAUUCCAUAGCGUAAUCUCUAUGGAUUGACCUAUACGCAGAGGAAGGAUGGGCUAAGUUCGUGCCAGCCGCCGCCGUAA